rnacentral:rRNA from 1 species
UACAGAGGGUGCGAGCGUUAAUCGGAAUUACUGGGCGUAAAGCGUGCGUAGACGGUUAUUUAAGUCGGGUGUGAAAGCCCCGGGCUCAACCUGGGAAUUGCAUUCGAGACUGAAUAGCUAGGGUACGGUAGAGGGAAGUGGAAUUUCCGGUGUAGCGGUGAAAUGCGUAGAUAUCGGAAGGAACGCCGGUGGCGAAAGCGACUGUCUGGGGUGCCUGUGACGCUGAGGCGCGAAAGCCAGGGGAUCAAACGGG